rnacentral:ribozyme from 1 species
UGUCCAUCGACGCUAUGCUGGACGAACUUCUGGGUCUCACUAUCUCCGAGGUGUCGACGAUGGCAACGGUAUGGUGUAAACGCAAUUUGACGGCCUUGCAAUCCGUGACGCUAACCUUAUUUGUUCAAAUACCGGAGCG